rnacentral:lncRNA from 1 species
UUUUUUUUUUUUCAUUUUAUUUUCCCUCUCAUGUUCAAAGCCCAUUUCUGCUUACUCUGAGCUUGAGUCUAUACUAUGAACAACUGAGGAGCUAGAAAUUGGACUGCUGGAUUAAUGGAAUAAACCUGAUGAUGGCCAGAAUGAUUUAUUUGAUAACUGAUUAUUGAGUAACCCCUUCUGAUUAUUGCUUAUGAAACAUUAUCUAUAUUUUUAUGACUGCAACAGCAGCAUAUGGAAGUUCCUGGGUCAGGAAUUGCAUCUGAGGGCAGCUACAGCAAUGCCGGGUUCUUUAACCCACUGUACCAGGCCAGGGAUUUAACACACGCCUCUUCAGCGACCUCAGCUGCCACAGUUGGAAUCUUAACCAACUGCGCCACAGCUGGAACUCCCUGAUUAUUGCUUAUAUUGUAUAGACAGUAAUCAUAAAUUAGACCUUGUAGCCAUUAAAUUGUGAUAUCACUUUCUUUCUAGAAACCAUAGUACAAUUAUAUUUGGAGUAACUGAAAAGAAAGAAUGAGUCUAUUAUCCUGUAUCUACAGCAUAUUAUUAGUACACAUUCACUGAUUGGUGAAUUACAAAAUUGAAGGUGCAUUUGACAUUUUUUUCUCACUUUUGCUACUACCGUCAUCAACGGCAUGACCACCAUGUCAACUUGACUGGCAUUUCCUCUGGCAGCCAAGAAUUCUCCAGCCUCAGGAUCUGUGGUGUCCACGGUCUUUUGAAAUGGAAAUUUCAGUGACCCAAUACAUGCAUGGCUUUUUCCUCACUUCACUGGGGUUAUUUAUAAAAUCAGAGAGGCUUUCCUGGUGCACUCUACAUAAAAUCAACUCCCCUUCCUCUCUGUCUUGUAUUACACUUUAUUUUUCUACAUUCCACUAUCCCCACCUGACAUAUUUUUAUUUUUGAUACUCUCAUUUGAUUAUCGGCUCUAUGAGGAAAAAAAAAAAAGUUCGUUUUAAAGCCACACAUUCUAUUAUUCCCCUUGCAAAAAAGAAGAAAUGAUAAGGAAGUUUGCAAUAUUUCCAGAAUCGCAAACAGUGCUUCUUUGGACUAUAACAGGUGGAAGUUCUUUUAAAAAUUGCUUAAUUCUAAUUCUGUCAAGAAGAAAACGUCUUUGACAUUUUGGAUGGUAUAGCUAAGACCAAGAACAUUACUUCAGUAUUUAUGCAUAUCCCAUGGUUACCACAGUCUGAAGCAAAAAUCUUGUCUUUAAUAGUUGGUGCAUCAUUCUGCAAUUUUUUUUUUCAAGCAAUAGACAAUUUCCCAGCUCUCUUUACAUCACCCUUUUAAUAUCUGGAAUAGCAAUGCAAAAGUUCUAGAUCAUAGGACCUACCCCAUUUAUUGCACAGAAUAAAGCUCUUAAUCUUUCAUUUAAGGCAGGGCACUCUCAAUAUUCUUUUUGUUUCUGUAUCAAAAGUUCACUUUAGUUAAAAGGCUAUUAAUUCAUUCCUUUUUAUUACAAUAGCCACUGAGGAUUACAAAAAAAAAUUAUAAAAUUAUAAAAUUAUGCAACCAUAAAAAUUGACCUUCAAAAUGCACUGAGCCUUCUCAUUUGUUGAUAAGCAAGGAGAAUAUGAAUGGACCACUUACUAGAUGAACUAUAAGUAAUAGAUGUAAGUUUAAAAAAAUUAAUUUCACUUGAAGUAUCUCAGGUGUUACAUUGUGUUGUAGUUGCAAAUUUUUGCAGAAUGAAUAGGCCAGUGUUUUUGAGUACUUAUCAAACUUUCAUUUUUUUUCUGCAACCAGGUACAAAACUGUUAUUAUAUAAGAGGUGCCCUCUGCUAUCUACUGGAUGAUAGAUAAUGUUUUCAAAAUUUAAUAUUUAGCCAACACAGCUGAUCUUCUGUGUACAAAAAAAAAGUGUAUAGCAUAUUGUUUAUAGUAUCCCCUAUUAUUUGGCUAGCCCAGAUGACCCUUAAAUCAAAGUUUUGUGUAAACUCAACUCAAAGAAAUAGAACCAUAGAGAACUAUAAAUAUUAAACAUCUUCUUUUUUCUCUAAAUAUCCUUGAAGAGUUAAGUUUAAGGGAUAAACGAAAUUUCUCCCUUGCUCACUCCAUUCCAGUGAGAUUUUACUAUCUAUCUUAACAUCAUGUCACUUUUUAUUGCUUUCCAGUUAAAAUAAAUUGUUCUAUUUUUAUUCUUUUCUCUAGGGAGGGAAAAAGAUACAUCAAACUUCUUUUAGGCAUAGGAUGGAAAAUAAUUUAUUCUCUACACUUGACUUCUCAAUAAGAAUAAAAACAAUGAAAUCUGACUUUCUUUCCAUAAGAAAACUGGAUGGGACAGCCAGUGGGCAUGCUGUCACCCAGCAGGUGGAGAUUUAUUUUUUACAUUUGGUUAACAUAUCUUGGAUCAAGCAUUCAAUCCCAAAGUGAAGAGAAAGAUAGUUCUGUGUGCUAGAUGCCAGCAGUGCUGUCCACAGCUGUCACAGAUUAAAUAUGAAAAGUCAUCACUCUAAUCUAUGGGGCUUUUACUUUUUUGUGGCAGAGGCUGGAUUUGUGCAUAUACCUGUCCCUGUGGUCUUUAAUAGUUUGUUGUGGCUAUGAUGUGUCAUCACUAUUUACAAAAUUGUGAAUGGAAUAAUAAAUGCUGAAAACCCUCAAUUUAUAUCACAAAGAAUAGUACCAAUGGGCACAUCACAGUUUGUCCUACAUGGACUGAGUGCUGCUAGAAUUAAUUUGCUAUCGGCAAAGGACAACCACUGUCGAGUAAUUAAUUCACUGAAGAUCUGAAAGGAAGUAAGGACUGGGGCACUUUAGGGAGAAGAUAAGCAAGCAAGGGUGGCAUCAGGAUUUUGAAAGAAAUUGCCUUAAUUCUCUUUGAGGACUUUGAGAAAACAAAUCGAAAUCAUAGUUUGUAGACUUUCUGAAUCAUGUAUGGGCAGCUGUGUGAAAAAUUAACAUCAGUGGCCUUCACUGACUUCAAUAGAAAUACCUCUUUUUCCCUCUUCAUUACCAAGUGUGUGUGUGUAUAUGUGAUCUUUAGUACAAUUAGGAUACCGAGAGCAACAACAGCAAGAAUAUUUAUGUCUCAUGUUUCACAGCAAUUUGUAUUUAAAUUGGAGAUGAAUUAUUGUUACCAGAACUAUGUUCACAUGUUCUGCCUUGGGGACCCACAAUUAAAUAGAGGUUUUUAUUUAAAAUGUAUUAGGCAGGAGAAUUAGGAAGGAGGGAAGAUAGAUGGAAAUAAGGAAAUCAGGAACUAAUUUUUAAAUGCCCAUCAUGUGUUAGUCCUAUCUUAUGUUCACUUCAUAUUUGCAUAUAUUCUCUCCCUGUCUGCUUGCGUAGGGGGUUAUGUGUGUAUCUCCCCCCACAACUUACCUGAAAUUAUAAAUAGAAAUUAUAUACAGAGCUCUAAGAAUAUAUAUAAAACAGGUAAAAGAAAAGACAAUAUUCAGCAACCCAUACACAUCUGGAACUCUAGGUCUUCUUUGGCCAAGAAAACACUCACAUACAAAAAAGAAAUGGGGGAAAUAUAAGUGAGUAUGUUUGCCUAAAAUUUACAAAGACAGGAAUAUAACCUUUUUUGAUUACUUCUUAAUAUUUUACAUUUUAGGACAUCAUUAUUUAGUUUAGUAUAAAUUGCCAAGACUAUUCUAUUUUCUAAUUAUCGUACAAGUUUAGUGUUUUGUGAAGAUGAAUGAAAGUAUGUUGCCACUUUUACUAUUUUGUUUUAUUAAUAAUACUCCAUGGGUUUUGACUCCUUGUUUUACUGUGCCAAAAUUACAUGUUGGCAUCUAACCAUUUCACAAUUGUUUAUUUGUUUGUGUUUUGGCUUUGAUCAAAUAAAUAUUUUCAUAUUAGCUCAUAACUACACAUGAUUCUCUUUCAAACAAUUCUGUCCUCUCCCUACUGAAAUGAGUUAAAUUGGAGAAAAACAAAGGAAAUGACUAUUUAAAAAAUUCACAGUGUCAUAAGAAAAAGGGAAUAUAUAUAUAUAACAGCAAGCCAGAGUCUCCUGAGGCACAGCAGGUUAAGGAUCAGGCAUUUCCACUGCAGCAGUUUGGGUCACUGCUGUGGCACAGUUUUGAUACCUGCCUUGGGAACUUUGCAUGCCACAGGUGCAGCCAAGUAAAACUAAAAGAAAAAAAAAAAAGAAAAGAAAACAGCAAGCCAAUUAAAAAUAGUAUAAAAGAAUAGGUGGUUCAGCUUUAAUUAAGGAAUCCUAGCUAGAAGAUGGUAGGGCUAUGAUUCUAAAAGGAGCUAGACAAUCCCCUGCCAUCUAAGUACUCCCUCUAUUUAUCUAUCUAUCUACCUGUCUAUGUAUCCAAAGAAGCAGCUGACUUAAGUUUUUCAAGGGCAAAGACUAUAUCUUUGUAUGGUUAGUAACUGAAGUCUCAUGCAGAUGCUCAGUAAAUGUUGACUGCAAAUAUAAAAACCAAAACUAACAAAUAAUAAAACUUUCUUUCUCUAUAGUGUUUCUGUACAUAGCAGGGAUAUCUACCUAAGUAAUAUUCCUACUAAUACCUACAUAGAAUUCCUAUUAUAUUAAUAUUUCAAUUUAAAUCAAAGAUAUAAGUAUGUCCUUUUUAAAGGGUAGAUGAAAGUCAAAGAACAGAAUUAUCAGUGAAAGAGAGUGUGUGCGUGUGUGCGUGUGUGUGUGUGUGUGUGUGUGUGUGUGUGUACUUCUUUUUAUUUGCCUUCAUGGUCUGGACUGAGGGGAGUGCAAUUAGUUCAAAUAGCCAUAAUAACUCCAUUUAGGUUUCAAGGUAUUCGACAACUCAAGCUAAGAUUUAUGGACAUCUUAAAGUGCAAGUAAUCCCAGGAAUCGGAAGCCAUGAGGUCACUUUAACUCUUUUGAUAAUGAUUUUAUCAAUGUAAUCCUUAUAAGAGGGAUCUCUUUUAAAAAUACAAUAAAUAAAUAAAUGGCGAGUUCAUGAUGGUCUAGUGGUAAGUACUUGGCGCUUUCAGUGCUGCAGCCUGAGGUUCAAUUUUGGUCUGGGAACCGAGAUCCUACAUCAAGCCACUGCAUGCUGUGGUCAAAAGAAAGAAAAAAUGAAAGAGAGAGAGAGAAAGAAAGGGAAAGAGACAGAAAGAGAAAGAAAAAAAGAGAAAAAGAAAGAGCCGGGACAAAGGGAGACGGUGGAGAACAGAAUGAAUGUACAUCAUAUCAAAGACAAAGGUCAUUAACUUCAUAAGGUAAAGUGAUCUAGAGAGAAAAAAAUCAAUAAAUGAUAUAUAUAUAUAUAUUAAAAAACUAAGGGAUUCUGUCUUUUUAAGAUUUCAGUUUUCUUCAGAAGCUUUAAAUUCAAGAAUGGGUAAAAGCUAUUCCUUCAGGCUUAUCUUUAAUAAAAGUCUAUUUUAAUGCCUUCCCAGGAAUAUGCUUAGCCUGUAGCUUCUUUCUGAAGGAGCUAUAUUUCCUGGACCAUGUUAUUUACAGAUAUACCAUGGAUUUAUAUUAUGGAUGAUAUUAAGGGUCUACUUAUUGAUCUAUUAUUUACAGAUUUAUUUAUGCCAUUAUGGAUACAAGGUGCUUAGAAGACAGGCACCCAACACAACUGUAUUUUCUGCUUUUUAUUUUGUCAUUUUCAUGCUUACAGAGCAGCUAAUUUCCUUAUCUGCUAUUAAGAUCUCAGUCAAAAUCAGUGAUACAGUCUCUCUCUGGUCAGCCUGAUGGUCUGAUUGUUUUGGUCAAUGAUAAAGAUGUCGAUUAUCAGUCAGAGAGAGAGAAGAUCAAAAGAUUUUACUCUCCUCUAUUCUCUAUCCAUUAUAUUUUCAAGAACUAGGCAGGGUUUUGACAAAGAUAUGUCAGACAAGCGUAAUUAUUGAAAAGCGGACAACAAAAGACCUUUAGACAUUUCAUGAUUUCAUGAUUCUUAAAACAGGCAAGUGGACUCUAGCAUUCUUUGCUUGACCUAAUGAUUUUUAUCUCAUUUAUUUCCUAUAAAAAGAGAAAUUUCUCACAUGGUAUUUUUAAGGAAAUUUAGGUCACAGGUAGGUAAUUUUCCUAAAAGUUUCUCCCAAGCAUGCAUAGUAAAAUAAGUCUAAUUAGAUGGUAUAUAAGACUCCUUUAGAAUGUAUAUAUAUGUAUAUAUAUGCACAUAUAUAUGCAUGUAUGACUGGGACACUUUGCUGUAGAGCAGAAAUUGGUACAAUGUUGUAAAUCAACUCUAUAAAAAAAUAAGAGAGAAAAAAAUUUUAAAAGAUUUCUUUAGCUCUAAAUAUAUAAGGACUCCAUUAAUGCCAUGUUAUCUGGAACAGUAGAAAUAUCAGAAUGACAGUUUUGCAUGGAAACACUAAAACUACUUAUUUCCAUUAUUGUUUUCUAAUGGUUAUCAACACUUACUUUAAUAAAAGUAAACUCAUAUCCUCUGAUUUCCAUUUCAUAUCUUAUUUUGUGAAUUAUACAGUAAACUACUGACUAAAACCAGAUUUUUCGAUUCUGCAAAUUCAGCAGCUUGUAGCCCCAGUGUCAUCAGUACCACUUCGGUUUGUCUACGUGCAUACCCUGUUUUUGUUCUCCAUUGUACUUCCGUGUGUUCACUCAAAACACAGUGAAUGAGUACACCUGAAACUAACACAAUGUUGCAAGUCAACUAUACUUCUAUAAAUAUAUUUUAAAGAUUAAAAAAAAAAAAACAGUGAAUGAACCCCCACUCCAGUGCCAGUAACCAGUAACUAGGAGUAACCAGUAACUAGGAGUAGCCAGUAACCAGUAACUAGGAGUAGAAAGAAUAAGUACCACAGAAUCUCAUUCAAAAAAAA